rnacentral:rRNA from 1 species
UGAUUCAUGAUAACUCCUCGAAUCGCAUGGCCUUGUGCCGGCGAUGGUUCAUUCAAAUUUCUUCCCUAUCAACUUUCGAUGUUUGGGUAUUGGCCAAACAUGGUUGCAACGGGUAACGGAGGGUUAGGGCUCGACCCCGGAGAAGGAGCCUGAGAAACGGCUACUACAUCCAAGGAAGGCAGCAGGCGCGCAAAUUACCCAAUCCCGACACGGGGAGGUAGUGACAAUAAAUACUGAUACAGGGCUCUUUUGGGUCUUGUAAUUGGAAUGAGUACAAUUUAAAUCCCUUAACGAGGAACAAUUGGAGGGCAAGUCUGGUGCCAGCAGCCGCGGUAAUUCCAGCUCCAAUAGCGUAUAUUAAAGUUGUUGUGGUUAAAAAGCUCGUAGUUGAACCUUGGGCCUGGCUGGCCGGUCCGCCUCACCGCGUGUACUGGUCCGGCCGGGCCUUUCCCUCUGUGGAACCCCAUGCCCUUCACUGGGUGUGGCGGGGAAACAGGACUUUUACUGUGAAAAAAUUAGAGUGCUCCAGGCAGGCCUAUGCUCGAAUACAUUAGCAUGGAAUAAUAGAAUAGGACGUGUGGUUCUAUUUUGUUGGUUUCUAGGACCGCCGUAAUGAUUAAUAGGGACAGUCGGGGGCAUCAGUAUUCAAUUGUCAGAGGUGAAAUUCUUGGAUUUAUUGAAGACUAACUACUGCGAAAGCAUUUGCCAAGGAUGUUUUCAUUAAUCAGGAACGAAAGUUAGGGGAUCGAAGACGAUCA